CAAAACUGAAAAUGUUUCAAAUGUCCAUCAAUAGGUAUAUGGAUAAACAAAUUGUAAUAUAUUGAUUCAAUGCACUACUGCUUAAAAACUAAAAGAAAUAACUGUUCAUGGAUAUAACAAUGUGGAUGAAUCUCAAAAUUAUUAUGUUAAGUUAAAGUAACCAGAUAAAAAACAGUACACACUGCAUGACAACAUUUACAUAGAAAAUGUAAACUAUCUAUAGUGACAGAAGUAUAAUUGUUGUAGAGAAAAAUUGGUGGUGGGAGUUUGGCCAAAAUGUUCCCUUAUUGAUUGUAGUAAUGAAUUCAUAGUUGCAUAUUUAUGUCAAAACUCAUGAAAUUAUAUACCUUAAAUAUGUUAAGUUUCCUGUACAUCAGUUCUACUUCCAUACAUUUGUAAAAAAAAAAAAAAAAAAAAAAAAAAAAAAAAAAAAAAAUCUUUAGAAAAAUUUUGCCCAUGUUUUACUGCCUCCUUGUGAUGUAAAGUAGAAGUUAAGACUAAAACUAGUAAAACUGGUAGUGCAUGUAUAUAAAGCAGAAAACCGGAUGGAGGUUUUUCCCUUUCUUUUCUAAGAUAUAAAAAUGGCUCUUGAAGAGGCUAGUUCAGGGCUAGAGCGUUGGAGUAGAAUAGGAGGGAAUUAUAUGAUUUAAAAUAGCUCUCUAAGGAUGCACUGACAGUCCAUUUUUUGCAGAGAAAACUGGAACAGUGCAUCGUGAGAAGACUAGGAAGAGAAGUGAGUGGGAAUCCAAAAGAUAUUCAGGCAGACAUCUGGAUCAGACAGACUUAUUCAACUGGCCAACUGAAAUUAAGAAUCCAAUGCUCCAAAUGGACUAACCAGGCUCAGCCUCCUGAAAGUGAAGUCGGCUGGUCCACAUUUUCCAUGGAACUAUACAAAGCCCACAGUCAGUUCUUCAUCUAGAACAGCACUCCGACUACUUCAGCUGCAUUUAGCCAUAGCAAAAGUCCAAAGAGAGUAAAAAUUGUCUUUGCAUUAUUUAUAUGUUUGUACUCCACUAUUUUAGUUUGUUUAAACUAAAUCAUUCAUAAAAUAAUCUGAUACCAGUUACUUAUACUUUAUAUCUAACUGUCAAUAAAUGACCCUUUAUAAAAUAAAUUCUGUAAAUAAAAAUGGGCUUUUUGAUGGAAGGAUCUUCCUAGUUUCUCUAAAAUCAGUGUUUUCUACAUUUUUCCUACAGUGUGAAAAGACAAAAUUAAAACAAAUUUAAUGUAAAGUUCUGAUCAGCUUAUACUGGUGAUUCUAGAAUAAGGCAACAUCCCGUUCUAUAAAGGAUAAUGGGUGAUCUGAUAGGCUGAGUGGAGGUGGUAGGCUUUAUAGGCAGAAAAUAACUGAAGACAGCAGAAACAGGAAACACCAAGAGGACUGGUUGUUUCAGAGUUACUUU
rnacentral:lncRNA from 1 species